rnacentral:rRNA from 1 species
CAGCCGUAAACGAUGCGCGUUAGGUGUAUCGACGACCACGAGUCGUCGAGGUGCCGAAGGGAAACCGUGAAACGUGCCGCCUGGGAAGUACGGUCGCAAGGCUGAAACUUAAAGGAAUUGGCGGGGGAGCACCACAACAGGUGGAGCCUGCGGUUUAAUUGGAUUCAACACCGUAAAACUCACCAGGGAAGACUGUUACAUGAAAGCCGAGAUGAAGACUCUGCUAGAUUUCCAGAGAGGAGGUGCAUGGCGUCAGUGACU